ACGCUAGCUACAGGCUUAACACAUGCAAGUCGAGGGGAAACGACAUCGAAAGCUUGCUUUUGAUGGGCGUCGACCGGCGCACGGGUGAGUAACGCGUAUCCAACCUGCCCACCACUUGGGGAUAACCUUGCGAAAGUAAGACUAAUACCCAAUGACGUCUCUAGAAGACAUCUGAAAGAGAUUAAAGAUUUAUCGGUGAUGGAUGGGGAUGCGUCUGAUUAGCUUGUUGGCGGGGUAACGGCCCACCAAGGCGACGAUCAGUAGGGGUUCUGAGAGGAAGGUCCCCCACAUUGGAACUGAGACACGGUCCAAACUCCUACGGGAGGCAGCAGUGAGGAAUAUUGGUCAAUGGACGAGAGUCUGAACCAGCCAAGUAGCGUGCAGGAUGACGGCCCUAUGGGUUGUAAACUGCUUUUAUAAGGGAAUAAAGUGAGUCUCGUGAGACUUUUUGCAUGUACCUUAUGAAUAAGGACCGGCUAAUUCCGUGCCAGCAGCCGCGGUAAUACGGAAGGUCCGGGCGUUAUCCGGAUUUAUUGGGUUUAAAGGGAGCGUAGGCCGGAGAUUAAGCGUGUUGUGAAAUGUAGACGCUCAACGUCUGCACUGCAGCGCGAACUGGUUUCCUUGAGUACGCACAAAGUGGGCGGAAUUCGUGGUGUAGCGGUGAAAUGCUUAGAUAUCACGAAGAACUCCGAUUGCGAAGGCAGCUCACUGGAGCGCAACUGACGCUGAAGCUCGAAAGUGCGGGUAUCGAACAGGAUUAGAUACCCUGGUAGUCCGCACGGUAAACGAUGGAUGCCCGCUGUUGGCCUGAAUAGGUCAGCGGCCAAGCGAAAGCAUUAAGCAUCCCACCUGGGGAGUACGCCGGCAACGGUGAAAC
rnacentral:rRNA from 1 species